AGAUUCCUAAGAUGUUCGUAUAAGUCUAUGUGUAUUGAGCCAACAUUUUUAAGACGGGAGCUCAAGUUGAAUGUGUACUUACAAGCCUUGAAAGCUGAAGGACGUAAAAGCAUACUCACAGUGCACCCACCUGCUAGGAGCAGGUUCAAAACAAUAGAUGAAACGGCGUCACUGGGAUUCUU
rnacentral:other from 1 species